rnacentral:lncRNA from 1 species
AAAAUUCAGAAUGACAAUCCGUUAAUGAUUUAAAUUUCAAGUCUAUGCCACCAGUAUAACUCCCUAAGACUUAGGUACACUGUGAAUGCAACGACCUCUCCCCGGUAGAUGCCGACAUCCAAGACUUCUGGAAAAGACUCGCCAAGUCUCAAACAAGCCUGUCUAGAAUUUGCUCGUUAAUCCACUACAUUCAAUCACCAUAUAAUAAAGAUACUUUCAUAUACUAAAUUGAACCAUAAAUAUAAAAAUCAAUACAAACUUUUUCCCUUUUAUUCGUAAGUAUAUGCAUUAAAAUCUAUAAUCCCCAAAUUAAUGCUUAUAUAAAAUUUAGAAUUCAUUUACAACUUAAUAAAUAAAAUGCUACGACUUGACCCUUAACAGUGGAGUGACUCGUAAUAAAAUGCUAUGAGAUGCCUUACCUAUCCACGGUGGAC